rnacentral:sRNA from 1 species
UUCAGAAUAGUAUAUGACAAUGGCAGAGCUACUCCAAAUGACAACGCCGUGGAUCGAAGAGACGUUCGUCUUUGGGUGCUCCUUUGAU